UUACACCCGGACCGAAAAACAAUUUACAAAAUAGUUUUAGCCUCCGGUAAACAGAUAUUGGGUUUCCAUUAUAGUAUUUCGCAAUAUUGCAUCAGCCGGUUACGACUAGUUUUAUCAAUACACAUAACAUUCUUUACUGUUUUAAGUAUUAUAACGAAAAAAGUGGAAUUUAAACAACUGAAAUGUAUUCAAGAAUUCUACAAAGAUAUUAUUAGCCAGACGAAUUACAACGUGAAAAAUCCAAGACUUUAUAAAGACAACGAACGUUUAACACAAAAUAUAUCAUCGGAAGACUUCAA
rnacentral:lncRNA from 1 species